rnacentral:rRNA from 1 species
CCUACGGGGGGCUGCAGUGGGGAAUAUUGGGCAAUGGGCGCAAGCCUGACCCAGCAACGCCGCGUGAAGGAAGAAGGCUCUCGGGUUGUAAACUUCUUUUCUCAGGGACGAAGCAAGUGACGGUACCGGAUGAAUAAGCCACGGCUAACUACGUGCCAGCAGCCGCGGUAAUACGUAGGUGGCAAGCGUUAUCCGGAUUUACUGGGUGUAAAGGGCGUGUAGGCGGGGACGCAAGUCAGAUGUGAAAUCCACGGGCUCAACCUGUGGCCUGCAUUUGAAACUGUGUGUCUUGAGUGCUGCAGAGGCAGGCGGAAUUCCUAGUGUAGCGGUGAAAUGCGUAGAUAUUAGGAGGAACACCGGUGGCGAAGGCGGUCUGCUGGACAGCAACUGACGCUGAGGCGCGAAAGCGUGGGGAGCAAACAGGAUUAGAUACCCGAGUAGUC